rnacentral:tRNA from 1 species
GCUCCUUCGCUCACAGGUAGAGCGCUGGUCUACUAGGCCAACGUGGGCGGUUCAAAUCCGUCAGGGAGCA